GCCUUCCUAGAGCAGUGAAGGCGGCUCCUCCUUCCCCUGGCAGAGACUGACUUUUCCAGAGGCGCUGCACACCCGGCCAGCAGCCAGCAGGGAUCUAUCUGCAUCCACACCAAGCCCCAGGAUGUGCAGAGAUUUCCUUUAGGUCCCAACCCACCACCAUGCGGUCCUGUCCAUGGAGACCUCGUCACCUGGGCCAACGUGUCCUGUGGCCCUUGCUUUUGGUUUUGCUGCUCUUCUUCCUCUUCACCCUGCCCUCCUUCAUUAAGGAGCCUAGCACAAAGCCUUCCAGGGCUCUCGGGAAUCCUUGCAAAAACCCAUGUAGCACGGGGCCCCUGCCCGGAAGCGCAGUCGAGAGGCAUGCACACCUCCCACUGAACUGUCUAAAGAAGCCGUGCCUGACAGCCUCACAUAAAAGUCAGAAAGAGAAAACAAUCCCUGGAGCCAGAAACCUUGCCUACCAGGACCCAGACCAGGGCCCCCAAGUCUACUUUCUUCCACUACUGCUGCUAGACGAAGCCUUCUAGAAUGGAAAUGAGAUCGCGCCCCACCCACUGCCUUCCUUCAACACCCUCCCCCACCCCCGUUUGAAAUUCUUCACCACUCCUCCUAAACUAAAAGGCAUCAAUAUACACAGAACAAUAUAAAGCGGGCUGAGGAGUCGCAGCAAAACUCUAUGUCCCCAGCUCCCACCAUGCAACAGAGGAGAAGCGUCCAUGAUGAGCCAGGGCAAGAGGAGGGUACCCUGGACACAGACCCUGGGCCCACAGCCCCCUUGGCUAGAGGGAACAGGACAGAGGCUGCCCGGACACCACAGCGGGAACAGGGUGCUGUGCCCAGCGCCACACUGGCAGCAGCACUGAAGGGACAGGGAGAAGAGAAAACCCAGGUGGACGUGCUGCCACCAAGAGGUCAGCACAAGGAGAUGGCCUCCGUCAGGACAAAGGCAACAGCAGUGCAGAGUCAGGACACGGUGACAAGAGGCAGGGGGGACCAGAAGGGGAAGCUGACAACUGCAAGGGCAGUGUUAAAAAAAACCCAGGGCAAAGCGUUGGCCACCACAGUAGUGACAACAAGGACAAGAAAGAAAGCCAUGACCACAGCCGCUGUCCCAGGCAAGGAGAAGGCAGCGCGGGCCAACCCUGCACCUUCCCCAAGGCCCACCACAGGGAGAAGCCAGAGACUGAAGGCCGCCAACUUCAGGUCUGAGCCCCGCUGGGAUUUUGAGGAAAAGUAUAGCUUUGAUGUGGGGGGUCUGCAGACGAGAUGCCCUGACUCAGUGAAGGUCAGAGCCUCCAAGUCACCAUGGCUCCAGAAUCUCUUUCUGCCCAACCUCACUCUCUUCCUGGACUCUGGACGCUUCAACCAGAGCGAGUGGGAGCGCCUGGAACACUUCGCCCCUCCCUUCGGCUUCAUGGAGCUCAAUCACUCCUGUGAGUCCUCACCCCGGGAGGCUGCAGCGCGCACCAGGCCGGGGCAGGGGGCGGCUGGCUUCCUCUCUCUGGUCCGCUCUUUCCUGGGGGCCGCCUGGCCUAGGAGAAAUGAUGGGUGGACGGACGCCUGUCCCUUGCAGGGCUCUGAAGGGAGCCCUGCACCACUCCUGUUCCAGUGGUGCAGAAGGUCGUGGCCCACUUCCCGCCGGUGCCCCAGCAGCAGCUGCUCCUGGCCGGCCUGCCCUGGGAGAGCUCGCAGUGCGUC
rnacentral:lncRNA from 1 species